CGAACGGGUGAGUAACACGUGACUAACCUACCCUCGAGUGGGGGAUAACCUCGGGAAACCGGGGCUAAUACCGCAUAACAUCACCAGGGGAAGCUCCUGGUGAUCAAAUGCGCAAGCAACUUGAGGAGGGGGUCGCGGCUGAUUAGCUAGUUGGCGGGGUAACGGCCCACCAAGGCAAUGAUCAGUAGCCGGCCUGAGAGGGCGCACGGCCACACUGGAACUGAAACACGGUCCAG
rnacentral:rRNA from 1 species